CAUGUAUAUACUUUCCUUUUUGUUGUUUUGUCCCGCUUUUGUCAUUUUGCUUUUCUUUCCUUAGCCUUCCGAGCUUUGUAGUGUGUAUUUCGGAAAUAGAAUGAAAAGGGUGUUUUGUGUUACCUCGUCCGUGCGUUGUAUUAAAUUAUCGUCCAUCGAACUUUUCUUGUUGUUCGACUUGUCUGAUGCUGACGUCGUUGGGAGGCGCUCAGUCGUCGAUGUGUUAGCUUGCCUUCCUCAUCGUACAUGGCUGCAAGCCCGAGCUUGGCGGUCCGGACUCUGCAUUACUUCGGGGACGUCGCUGUCUUCUUGACCUGUGUCGGGAGUCUUCUUAGAGGCCGGGGGUGUUUGGUAGGAACUCCCUGUCUUUGUUGGGACGAAGUUCUUUAGGUCUUUGGUGCGGUCCGUCCAUCAUCUAUUUCCGUCGUAGUUCGUCACCCUUCCUUUUUAAUUUUCCUCCUCUUCUCAGAGUGAGGGCCCUUCCCUCGCUUUUUGCGAGGUUGCAUAGGAGCGUGGAGGUGCCGCUGAGGGGCUUUUCCCCUUCAUCCGAUCUUGUUAGGCGGUCGGGUUUCGUCACCAUCAGGACGAGAUUCUCCUUCCAUUCCCAUGGGGGCACGUAAGGGCCAUUGCCAGGGCGGGCGGAGCCUUCCUUGCUGCAGAAGUCGUGGGGUGGAGUCCGGCUCCCGUAGGAGUCCGAGCGGAGUCUUUCAUACCGCAGAAGUCGUGGGUGGAGCCCGGCUUCCGUAGGAGUCCGGGUGGAGUCUCCCUUGCUGCAGAAGUCACAAACGGAGCCCGGCUCCCGUAGGAGUCCGGGCCUUCGACCUUGCUCAAGUCAGGGCG
rnacentral:lncRNA from 1 species